CAUCGACGGUUCCCCUUCAAGGGAUUAAAAAGGGAACCCGGUGCCCGGCCGAUGGCCGGAAACCCGGGACUGCCCCCGCAACUGUAAUCGGUAAGCGCUUCGCCAUUCAAUGCCACUGGAUUUUCCGGGAAGGCGGGCAAAGCGCGAUGACCCGAGAGUCAGGAGACCUGCCCCGAUA
rnacentral:ncRNA from 1 species